rnacentral:lncRNA from 1 species
GUGGAGCGCAGGGAGGGCGCGCAGCAAGGGCGGCCGCCGUUACGGCGCGGGCGUGGUCACGUGGCCGUCGGUCACCGCUGCCACCGCCCCCUCCCGCCCUGUUCUCUUUCUGGUCGGGUCGGGCCCGGCCGGCACCACGAGCGCCCUGCAGAGACUGAGGGAGAGAGAAAGAGGAGGGGAGGAGGAGGAGGAGGAUUCAGGGAGUAGGAGCUGGGGAGCCCUCCCGCGCCACAGAAAAUUAAAUUUCCAGAGACUUGGUGAAGAUAGGAAAACUAUCAGAAAGACUAUAGCACUAUUGUACUGUGAAAAAUCAGAAAAUUGCCUUCUUUUUUUCCUCUGCUAUUUUUGGUAGUCACUUUUGGU